rnacentral:rRNA from 1 species
UACGGAGGGUGCAAACGUUGCUCGGAAUCAUUGGGCGUAAAGCGCACGUAGGCGGCCUGUUAAGUCGGAUGUGAAAGCCCUGGGCUCAACCCAGGAAGUGCAUACGAAACUGGCAGGCUUGAAUAUGGAAGAGGGUCGCGGAAUUCCCGGUGUAGAGGUGAAAUUCGUAGAUAUCGGGAGGAACACCAGUGGCGAAGGCGGCGACCUGGGCCAAUAUUGACGCUGAGGUGCGAAAGCGUGGGGAGCGAACAGG